CACGCAGUAAACGAUGAUCACUGGAUGUUGGGUUGUAAAACUCAGUGUCGAAGCUAACGCGUUAAGUGAUCCGCCUGGGAAGUACGGUCGCAAGAUUAAAACUUAAAGGAAUUGACGGGGGCCCGCACAAGCGGUGGAACAUGUGGUUUAAUUCGACAAUACGCGAGGAACCUUACCUGGGUUUGACAUGCUAUUGACGUCUUUUAAAAGAAGAGUUCUUGGGAAACCAAGACAAUAGCACAGGUGC
rnacentral:rRNA from 1 species